rnacentral:rRNA from 2 species
GGGCGUAAGCGCGCGCAGGCGGUUUCUUAAGUCUGAUGUGAAAGCCCCCCGCUCUACCGGGGAGGGGCAUUGGAAACUGGGGAACUUGAGUGCGGAAGAGGGUGGUGGAAUUCCCUGUGUAGCGGUGAAAUGCGUAGAUAUGUGGAGGAACACCAGUGGCGAAGGCGGCUUUUUGGUCUGUAUACUGACGCUGAGGCGCGAAAGCGUGGGGAGCAAACAGGAUUAGAUACCCUGGUAGUCCACGCCGUAAACGAUGACUGCUAACUGUUGGAGGGCUUCCGCCCUUUAGUGCUGCAGCUAACGCAUUAAGCUCUCCGCCUGGGGAGUACGGUCGC